rnacentral:tRNA from 1 species
ACCCGGUUAGCUCAGUCGGUAGAGCAUCAGACUUUUAAGACAGUAGUGUCAUCUGAGGGUCCAGGGUUCGAGCCCCUGAUUGGGUG